AUGUUAAGCGAUGUUAAGGUAGGAGUCAAAUUGAGGCCUUUAAUUCAACAAGAACAAGAUGAAAAUUUAUCAAUGCAAUGGAUCGUAAAGGGAAAUUCGAUUAUUUCAUUAGAUCAAGAGACAAACAAGUGGAGGGAUAAUGAAUUUCAGUUUGAUUAUAGCUUUGAUGUAAAUACAAAAAAUUCCAAAGUAUUUGAUAGUAUUAUAAAAUCUAUUGUUGAUGGUACUAUAGAUGGUUUCAAUGGAACAAUAUUUUUUUAUGGUCAGUUUCAUUCUGGUAAAACAUACACAGUGACAGGCACUUCAGAAGAUCCAGGCAUAAUACCACUUACUGCUGAAUACAUAUUUAAUGCUAUUUCAAAUAUCAUUCAAUGUGAAUUUUUAUUAAGGGUAUCUUAUUUAGAAAUUUAUGAUGAGAGAAUAAAUGACUUAUUAGAUAAAAACCAAAUUGAUUUAGAAUUAUACAAAGAUAACAAUGAACAAAUAAUUGUUAAAUGUACAGAAAAAAUUACAAAUUCUUCGGAUGAUAUGUUAUCUAUAAUGAAAGAAGGAAUUAAGAACAAACAUAUUAAUAGUCAUAGCAUAUUUCAAAUUAUAAUUGAAAGUCAACAAAUUGAAGGAGAUUCAAACAAUAUUGUACAAUUAUCACAAUUAAAUUUGGUAGAUCUUGCUGGUUUUACAAAAGUUCAUUGUACAAAAGGUAUUGAAGAACAUCAAACUGAUAUAUCUCUUUUUACUCUAGAAUCAAUAAUUACACAAAUAAGUAAGUCACAAAAUGCCCAGGAAUAUAUUGAUUAUCAUAAUAGUAAAUUAACAGAAUUGCUGCAGUCAUCAUUAAGUGGCAAUGCUUUAAUAGCAGUAAUAUGUACAGUAACACCUGUUGCUUUAGAGGAAACAUAUUACACUCUAUCGUUUGCAUCACAUACUAAAAAAAUUAAAACUAAACCACAAAAAAACGAAGUUAUGUUUGAUGCAUCGCUUCUUCAUUAUGCAAAACAAGUGAAAUUAGAGCAAAUAAGAAAUGGAAACUCAUCUAUAGAAGUAGAAGAAGUAGAAUCUAAAAAACUACAACAGAAAUGUCACUUGUUAGAAGAACGUAUAAAAUUAUUAAAGACUCGAACUAUUUCUGGAUAUGAAAAAAAUUGUGAAAAAGCACUUAACUAUAAGUCUAAAAGAAGAGAAAUUUGGUAUAAUCCUGGAAUGAUCAAACCAUAUUUCCCUGUAUUUCAUACUCAAACUUGCUUACCAACAAUAAAAGAAAUUUCACCUGAGAAACUACAUAAAAAAAACAUUAUGCAAUCAGUUGACACAAAUGAAACAUUUCAGACAGAUCUUGAAUCAGAAGCAAUUGAUUAUGAAGUAGAUUAUGAAAUCAAAAUGAAUGAUAAUAUUGGAAAUGAACAUGUUAAAUGUAUGAAAAGUGAUAAUUUAUUUCUAAUGCCAGAAACACAAGAUACUUUGAUACAAACUUCUAGAAAUCAAAUAUGUCCUUCUACACCGAAAAGCAUUUUACGGGAAUGUAUCGUGGACCUGACAACGCAACUUACUGAACUUCGUGAAUUUACAACUUUAGAGAAACAACUAACGUGUGAAGGAAACCAUUGUUGCAAACAUAACAUAGGAGAACAAGCGGAAAUACAGUUUGUUUGUGAUGGUUUUAAAAAUAACAGAAUUGAUAAAUGUUCUCUAAAUUAUGUAAUACAAUUAGAAGAAGAGAAAGAUAAAUUAGCAGUAGAGGUAAAGUUGAAAAGUCAAGAAUUGGCCGAAAUAAAGGAUGAUGUUCGAAGCCUUAAAUUAGAUAUAGAAAAAUUCGAAAAAACUAUUUAUUUAUUAACAAAUGAAAAUAUGGAAAUGUCAAAUAAAUUGUCCGUUGAAAACGAACGUUCGAAAGAAACUGAACUAAAUUUUCAAACAACAAUUACUGAGCUUUACACACAGAUUUCGAAAAUUACGGAAGAAAAGAUUAAUUUAGAAGGCGAUAUAACAGUCUUAAAUGAACAAUUAGAAUCAUUUCGCUCAAAAACCGUAGGAGAAUACAAUAAUGAGCAAUUACCAAUUGAACAUCAAAAUAAAAUUGAUGCAUUGAAAACAGAAAAUAUUGAAUUAUCAACUAUUAUUGCAGAUAAAAAUAAGGAACUUGAAAAUAUUAAAGAAAGUAAAUCACUAUUAUAUGACCAUGAUUGUAUUUAUAAGGAUGAAGUUACAAUAUUGACUGAAAAAAAUAAAUGUUUAAUGCAAGAAAAUAAUGAACUUUCCUCUGAUCUAAUAGAUAAAAUUGAGGAAGGUGAUAUAUUGAAAGAACAGUGUGAUAUUUUGAAUAAUAAAAUGAUUUUAAUAAAAAAGGUAGAUUCCAAAAACGAUAUAGAACAAUUAAGAUUGGAAAACAAUAUUUUAAAAGCCAAGAUAGCAGAAUUAAAAAUGAAAAUAACAAUAUUAACUAAUGAAAAUGCAAAGAUUUCCAAUAAUCUAUUAGAAAGUAUGGAGGAUUUUGAUAAUCCAUACAAUGAAAAAGUAAAUAGCAAUUCAUUGCAUUCAUCUAUAGUACCUGAUAAUCCUGAAAAGUCAAAUGAGACUAUGGAGAAAAUAUUACAAGGAGAAAAUUACGAGGAACUGUCAAAUAAAGUUAUAGUAUUACAGGACAAAGUUACUCAUCUAUCUCGUUUAAAUAAAAAAUUAAGUGAUUUAAAAUUAUCAUCCUGUGGUCAAUGUGAACAUUUAAAGAAGAUAAGUGAGAGUCGUAGAGCUUUUAAACUUGAAGCAAAAAUUUUAAAUCACAAAUUGGAAGACUUACAAAAAAAGUUCAAUCAGAAAUGUGAGGAUACUGAAGCAUUAAAACUUAAGGUUAAUCAAGAGUUGAAUGUAAGUUUUACUGAUACAUCCUUGAACACUAGUUUUAUAGAUAGAAUGAAUGUAAGCUUUGUAGAGGAGAAGGUUCAACACUUAAAUAACGAAUUACGGACUUUGAAGCAUGACCACGAUGAACUUUCAGUUUCAUAUAUAAAAAAAUGUGACGAACUUGAAAAGCUUCAUAAUGAAACGAAAAUCGAGCACCUUCAAAAUAAUAUCGAACAAGUGAAAAAAGAUAUAGAUGAAAUAAAGAAAAAUAGUGCACAUUUUGUUUCUAUGCUUAGUAAAUUUAGGACGCAAAAAGAAAACUUAUUGGACCAAAUCAACACACUAAGAUUCGAUAAUGAAGCGUUACAACAAACAGUAGCAGAAAAAGAGAUAUUAGCAGCUACAGCUACAGAGAAAGCUCAAAUUCUUGAGAAUGAAUUAUCAUGUAUGAAUAAAGAACUCGAACAGUUCUUUGUGAAAGAAAAACUAACGCAGACCGAGAAAAUGACACUAGAAAUACAAUUAGAAGGUUUAAAGGUUGAAAAUGAAAAUAAAGGUAAUCUUAUUACUAAAUUAAAUAGAACGACUGGUGAUUUGAAUGAAUGUAUAUUAUCACUGAAACAUGAAUUAGAUUUAACAACAAACCAAAAAAAGGAAUUAACUAUAUUAACUGAAAAUAUUAAAUGUAAAUAUAAAAAUGAAUUAGAACUUCUAAAAAAGCAAUGUGAUAAAUUAGAACAAGAAAAACAAAAAAGUAUAGAAACAGAAAAACAUGUAACACUGCGAGUAAACGAAUUAGAGUCAUAUAUAGGAAAGCUUAAAAUAGAUUUGGGAAAACAAAAAAACUUACAUUGUGAGUUAAAUACUAUUAAGGAACGUAUGAUCAAAGAAUUAAAGUCAUUUAAAUUGAAUUCUUUAGAUUUUUUAAAUAAAACUGCAGACGAAAUUUUCAUCAUUUUUUUGCAAACGAUCAUGUUGAAAGAAGAAGAAGUAAUUAAAGAAAUGAGAGAAUUACUCGAAAAGGACAAACUAAAAUUAGAGGAUGAAAAGCGGCAAAGUGCAGAUGCUGAAAAGCGCGCAGUGUUGUGGGCUAAAGAAUUGGAAAUAGAAAAUGAAAAAUUACAUGUUGAUUUAACAAAAACGGAGUGUUUAUGUAUAAAAAAGCAAGAUGAAAUUAACCAAUUAAGACACCUUAUGAAAGAAAGUAAUCAUGAAAAAGAGAUACUUAAAGAAAAAAUGGAAGUGCUAGAAACUGAUUUCAAUAAUUUACAAAGCGAAUUUGACAAACAAUGUAAAGUAGAUAUUCAACAGAAAGGACAAGCAUCUAUUGUUGCACAAAAACGAGAAAAACAAGUACAAGAAGCUCUUAAAUACAAAGAAAUUGAACUUCAGUCUAAUAUGAAAUCUGAAAAGGAACGGUAUGAAAAGAAAAUAGAAGAGUUACUUUGCACUAUAGAAAUCCAUAAAACAAAAAAUCUAGAAUUGAAAAACAAUAUUGAAGGUCUUGAAGCUAAUGAAAAACAAUUGAAAAAUAUUAUAGACGCAAAUUCCUCAGAACUGAAAGUAACCAAUCAAGCUAUUUAUAAAAUGACACUUGAUUUUGAACAUCUCACAGAAGCUUAUAACGAAUUAAACCGCGAUGUAAAAGAAAAAGCAACUCGAAUUGAAAACAUCACAGCACUUUUGAAAAACAAAUGUGACAUGCUAUCCGAAUAUAAAACUAAAUUCGAAACUAUUAUACCAGAUUAUGAAAUACUACAAAAUCAAGUUAAAGAAAGAAAAGAAAGCAUAGAACGAUAUAAAGAAGAAAUAGAAAGAUUGAAAAUGGAAAAGGAAAAACAAAUUGAAGAAAUCAAAGAUAAAUUAAAUUCAGAAGAAAUAAAAAAUACCGGAUUAAAUAAACAAUUAAACGAAUUAAAUAGCAAAAAUAUUGCUUUGAUAGAAGAAUUAGAUAACUUAAAAGAAGUAUGUGAAGAAUUGCGACAAGUAAAUGUGAAAUUAGAAAGAAAAAUUAGAAAUAGUACAAGUAAAAUAAAAGCUGAAGCAGACAUGGAAGAAUUAAAGGAUGUAAACAAAAGGUUGCAAAAUAACUUGGAAGGUGCAAGUAACCGUAUAAUUGAACUGCAGGAAAGCAAAAAUAAAACUUUCAAAGAAUUAGUUAAUUUAAAAAAUCAAUAUGAAUUACUGUCCCAAGAAAAUGCUGAACUAAAGAAAACUUUAUCGUUACACAAAUCCAGAGAAAAUACUUCAUAUUUAUUUGCAGAAGAUAGUAAAUAUGAUAUACUUCUUCAAGAAAAGAAUAAAAUUGCACUACAAUUAGAAGGUAAAAAAUUAUUAUUGUCACAAAAAGACAAAGAGAUUGUAGAAUAUGUAAGUCAAAUCAAUGAUUUGAUUAUUAAAAAAAAAGAACUUGAUAACCAAUUAAAAGAUAAAAUGUACAUUCAGCAAGCUGAAAAUAAAUUGGUUAAAGAAUUAAUGAAAAAGUUAACAACUUUAGAAGAAGAAAAUAAAGAAAUGAAAGAUCAACUUAAAACGUUCAAAACAGUGACACAAACUAACAUAAAACAGGUAGGAGGUACAAAGUUAGACAAUGAAAAAUUUAUUGAUACUCUGAAAAAAAGGAAUUCGGAAUUACAAAUUAAAUUUAAUGAGUAUCAAAUUGAAUUGGAACUAAAAAGCAACAGUAGUGAUUCAAGAUCUACUAAUCCAGCUUUUGAAAACAACAGAAGAAGACAUAGCAGGAAUGAGAUAUUUAAUCAAAGAAGACAAUUAGAAGAUGUAAUAAUUGAUACAGAUCCUAGUGAAGAUAGACAAACAUGUCAAGUAUUAAGAAAAAAAAUUCAUGAGUUAGAAUUGCAACUAGUAACAAAACAUGGACAAAUUUCAGCAUUAGAAAUCCAAAUCCAGAGUGAAAAUUUUCCUUAUCUACAAAAAUGUAAGGAACUGCAGGAACUUCUGCUCACAUCUCGUAAAAAGAAUGCUGAACUUAAUUCUGAGGUAAAAAAACUUCAAAGGACUCUAAACGACAUUAACGCGUGGGAAUGUGACAUAUGUAGACUAUGGCGAAUUAAUAGAAGAGAACAAGCAUGUCAAACAUUUAAUAAUGCGCAACAAGUUUUUACGAUAAAUAAUGAAAUAAUUAAGGAUGAUACAAAAAUAACGAAAUUGGAAAAAGAGAAAGCAAUAAUAAAAGAUGUAUGUCGUGCACGAUGCCGACAAAUAAAAGAAUUGGAAGAUAAAGUAAGAGAAUUAGAAGAAGCACAGACAUCACAUUUAAAGUGCAUUGAAUUUUUGAAAGAAACAUCUAAUCAACAACAUACUUCCAUGAACAAUGAAAGAAAAAGUUUCAGCCAAUGUGUUAAAGCUUGCAAAGUCUUCAAAUUAUAGAAGAAGCAUAUGGAACUCUAAUUAAUAAAAAUAUCUUCCAAAAAUUAUAGCCUAUGAUAUCGUUAAAAAUAUAUAUAGGAAGGCUAUCACUAUUCAAGUAUUACAUUCAUUCCUACUUUGUUAAGUUAAUGUAAAUAAUAACAAUAUUAAAGUAUCUGCAUUUCUGAGAUAUUAUAUUUUUGUACUUUCAUAAAAUAAUGUAAAUACGGAUAAACUAAUUUUUAUAUGUACUCUGACGCAAAAAAGUGACUAUAUUUAUAUAUGUUGUAUCAUUCAUGCCGACUUUAUAAUAAAACACAAUCUGUGAUUCUGUAAACUUUCAUAAUAUAAUUGCAUUAAUGUUAAUAUAUAUGGGGUAUCUUAAAAUUAAUUGGCCAAACCACAAAGGCUUAAUCUACAGUCAAAAAGAUGAAAAAAAUGUUAUAUAAAGUUUUUAUUAUAUUACAUAUUAUAUUUUAUAACUAUUAAUGACAUGGAAUUGUUACCACACGAUAAAAAAUAUGUAACUACACUGACACAAUAACACAGUCAACUUCUGUGUGCUAUGAUGAAAAAUGCGUUAUUACCUAUUUCAUGCGUACAAUAUUUGUUUAAAAUAUAACAAAGUAUUUAUUGACAAACUUUAUAUAACAUCUCUUUCUUCUUUUUGAUUGUAGAUUAGAAGUUUUCACAAUAUGGUCGUUUAAGUUUGGGGCACUCUGUAUAUAAAAUGUGCCAUAAAUUAAUUAUUUUUCCGAGUUCAAACUUAAAUUAUAUAAUGUAAUUGUGACGUAAAAAAAGAAAAAAACAUGUAUAUCAGAUUUAUUACUAUAACAAUUAAAACAGUGAAGAAGUAAUUAAGUUGUACUACAUUAAAUUCACUUACUAAAAUGUAAACAAAAAAUAUUAAGUGCUAAAAUUAUUUCCCUUUCGCUUGAAGUAUGUACUUUAAUGUAGUCAUUACGAAGUACCAGAGAAGAAAUGAAAGUGCUCACGCCCGUAGUUCUGGUUGUUUCAUGUACAGGUGCUGCACCAUGUGGUCGCGUGCUGAGUUUAACUAAAAUUAGCAGUGGUUGCACACUAGCAUAGAUAAGAACCCAUUUAAUCAUACGGUUCUACGAACAAGUUUCGUAGAUUCUUAUCAUAGGAAAAGAGACGAAUUCAACGACCUUGCAUAUGAGGUGACUUACUUUUGUAAAAUAUUAUAAAUUCGUCAGUUCCUAAAAACUCAAGUUGCUAUAAACGCUGUAAACAAAUAUUGAAUUUCAUAUCUUCCAUGGUGUUUCUCAAAUUUCCAAACAUUACUGAAUCGUGGAAACUCACUUUAGUUGACAUACUUUAGUCGAAUAAAAAUUGUAGGUGU